ensembl:lncRNA
AGUUUAUUAAUAACCAUAAGAUUCAGCUGCAUUAAUGACCACAUCUUCUUGACUACUUCUGUACUGCUGUGAAUCAGCUUCACGAGGCUGGAGCAGAUCUUGAGCUCAGGAGCGAGUGAUCUGGAGCCCGUCAUCUGGAAGAGCCUUUAUAACUUCAGCGGCACGGCUCCUGCAGGUCAGCGGCGUAUCAUCUGUCUCUCUGUCAGCCGUUACGUUCUUUUCCUGCGUUCCUUAUUAAUGCUGUUUUUGACUUUCUCACAGAUUGCACUCUUCUCCCAGUCGUGAAUGAGUGUCCCGUGACUCCAUUCAACGAGACUCGGGUGUGCAGUGGAGUGGACAGGUACCACAGACCUUUGAUUACGGCUUCAUUUUCCUGUUUUGUUUUUCCCAGCUUUGACUAACUUUGUCCUCUCUGUCCAGUUCUGCUGCACAGCAGUGCUUGAACGAAGGACGGAUUUGUGGCUUCAGUAUUGCAGCACAUGCAUGCGCCCCGGUAAUCACACAUGAGUCUAUAUCCCAGAAUGCGGCUCUGUAAUCAGACAUGAAAUGGUGGUGUAAACAGGCGUGUUGUGGUGUGUUCAUGUGUGUGUUCAGGUGCUGAAUGUGAGCGCGGACUAUCUGGUCACACUACUGAACUCUCAUCUGUCUGUGGAUGACAUGAGCUCAGCUGAGAGCUGGAAACUCUUCCUGACCAGAGUCUCACACCUGCUGGACAUCGCCCUCAUCCAGCUCUCCAACCAGUCGGUGUGGUGGAGCAGCAGCUCUGCCUCUGUGGUUCUGGACGUCCUGCGGGAGCUGCGGCUGGACAGACUCACGGAUGAGAGCACCGCUGCGCUGUGGCUCGAUGAACACCUGCGAGCGUUCCUGCCGAGUGCGUCCGGGACAUUCCUGCAGUGUCUGCGCAGCCAGAACCUCAGCUGCCAGAGCUUCCAGAGAGUGGUUGGAGCGUUCGAUGCAGGAUUUUCCCGUAUGAAUGACGUUCAGCGCCGAACAGCCGUGUCACACUUCAUCGUCCCGUUCCUCUGGAGAGCAGGUGCGACGUGUGUGUCCAACGACAGCUCUCAGUGGCUCAUCAGUAACUUUGGCCAGUUCUCUGCCCUCGUUCCUCUGAAUCAGCUGAUCUCGCUCAACCCACAGUUCAACCCGGUACAGUCAAUGAAUCACGUUUACACCACAAACAGUCAAUGCAUUCAUCAGGAUUUACUCUAAAACAGUGGUUCCCAAUCCUGGUCCUGGAGAACCCAACACUGCACGCUGUUGGUGUCUCUCUUAUCUGACGCACACAUUUGAGGUCUCGGAGUCUUCACUAAUGAGCUGAUGAGUUGAAUCAGGUGUGUUUGAACAGGGAGACAUCUAACAUGUGCAGUGGUCAGGACCAGGAUUGGGAACCACUG